AAAGUUUCAAGUUUUAACGCGUGUGUUUUGAAAAAGUGAUACGUUAUUUUAAUUUAGAAUAAAUGAUUAGUUUUUAUUUCCAUUCAUAAAUCAAAUUGUUUAUGGUUAGAUGUCAGGGCGUAAAAGCAAGAGAAGACGAUUUCUCAAGAGUCUGAUGUAUGCAGAAGGAACCUUCAUCGCCCCCCACUGAGUGUGAUUUAUCCACUCAGAACUCCAACAUGCAGCCGUAGCCUGCCAUACUGAAAAUUCAACUUUGACAGAAGAAGUGAAUACUUUGCUGCUCGACAAAGCCACCCUACAGGACCAAGUAAAGAAGUAAGAAGAGAUGAACCAAACUUUGGUGGGCCAAAAGAUUGAAUCGGUUCAGCAUUAGUAAUCGAUGGAAUGUCUACGCAAAGCAUUUAAGGAGGGAGACGAGUUUAUAGCAAAUGUAGCCAAAUCCUACAAUGAUAUGGGAGAAACACCUUUGCUGGUGGCAAUAAAAAACAGAACUUCCAGAACAGUCAAAUUCUUGGUUAACAAACUGAAAGUUUCUGUCAUCGGGUUGGU